UUACAGCCAUAUCAAGAUGAAACACCAGUUCUCAUACAAUCACAAAAGCUAAGCAAUGUCAAGCCUGGUCAGUACCUAGAUGGGUGAGCACUUGGGAAUACCAGAUGCUGUAAG